rnacentral:tRNA from 1 species
GUCUUUUUAGUAUAAUUAGUAUGAAUGACUUCCAAUCAUUUGAUCUUGGUUAAAUCUAAGAAAAGACA